GGAAGUAAUUAUAUACAAAAUUUUUAUUAGUCAUUACGUGGUAAUACUCCAAGUCAAUAAUAUCGUAUAUAAUAUAUAAUAAAUUCUGUAACAAAAAUAAUUUACUUGAUUUUCAAGAGUUUUGGCAAAUAAAUUAUAAAGUGAAAGGUUCUACAAGAACUGUGAAGUUAAAAAUAAAAAUUGCAAUCUUUCAGAUUACUUUUGGAUGAUCCUCACAUCUGUACAAGGAAGGACUGCAAAUAGUUCUAUCAGGUUUUAAAGCAUAGAAGUUGGAGAUCCACGUGAAAGAUAUUGUUUUUUCUUGGAUUUUCGCAAUGGAAUUUGUUACUACCAUUCUACCAACAUACAACAAUCCAAAAAAGUCAUGUAUUUACCCUCUCUUUAACAACUAUCAGAAUACACCUUGGUAUAACAUUUCGCUAUAUAUAUUCGGAUUUACAAUGAUAUCCCUGAUAGUGUGGUGUAUAUUCCAUGCGUGUCAAGAUGAGCCUAAACCAAAAUCAAACCAAACAGUGAACAAUGACUUGUCACUAUAUGAUUACUUCUUUGAAACUUUUGUUAGGCUACUUAAGACGUUCUUGCGUAGAGACCUUACGGAUAAUGAUAUGUUCUUCAUUACAGAGACACUUAAUAAUAGCAGUUUGAAAGAAAGACUUCUGGUAGCACGAGAAACAUUCUUGACGACAACAAGAACUGCUCAAUGCUUUCUAAUGUACAACGCGGAAGCCCGUGAUUUGCUAAGAGAAGCUUUGUCGCUUUUUUAUGCAAAAUAUGGAUGUGAGGACAGAUUUACUUAAGGAACUGAUACACGUUUAGAACAUUAUAGUAAGACCUCAAAUAUAUUUUAAUAGAAGUUAUCCUUAUAAAUUACUGGUAAGCUGUUACAGUCGUAGAUAUUUAAUGCAAAAUAAUGUAAGCUUAAAGACAAUUUUAUUAAUAAAUGCUUAUUCGAAAACAA